UGUCAUUGUUUUGGCAUCACUGUGACUAGGCACGGAUACCAUGGCUCUGGGUUCAGGAUGUUGUCUAGUUCAAGUGUGGAAAAACGACCUUACAUGGUCCCUCCCAAGAUGUUCCCCUUGCUUUUUAAAUGGAAUGCGUUUUUAACUGUUGAGCUUUUCAUGGUGUUUCAGAACUACAACUCCCAGCGUCUCUUAUCUGGUGAGCAGCAACUGCGAAGGGUUGUAACUCAUCAACAUCUGAAGGUCUACACAGGUUGAAGCUGGCUAGAUGACAUCUUCAUUUGUCACUUCCUGUAUCUCGCUGCAGGGUCUCUAAAGCUCUUUGGAUUUGGUCUUCAACUGCAUUUUGAUGGCUAUUUCUUGGCUUUUACUUCUAAUAAGACAUUUCUCCAC